UAGGGAAUCUUCCACAAUGGACGCAAGUCUGAUGGAGCAACGCCGCGUGAGUGAAGAAGGUUUUCGGAUCGUAAAGCUCUGUUGUUGGUGAAGAAGGAUAGAGGCAGUAACUGGUCUUUAUUUGACGGUAAUCAACCAGAAAGUCACGGCUAACUACGUGCCAGCAGCCGCGGUAAUACGUAGGUGGCAAGCGUUGUCCGGAUUUAUUGGGCGUAAAGCGAGCGCAGGCGGAAUGAUAAGUCUGAUGUGAAAGCCCACGGCUCAACCGUGGAACUGCAUCGGAAACUGUCAUUCUUGAGUGCAGAAGAGGAGAGUGGAAAUCCAUGUGUAGCGGUGGAAUGCGUAGAUAUAUGGAAGAACACCAGUGGCGAAGGCGGCUCUCUGGUCUGCAACUGACGCUGAGGCUCGAAAGCAUGGGUAGCGAACAGG
rnacentral:rRNA from 1 species